GACAGAGGAUGCAAGCGUUAUCCGGAAUGAUUGGGCGUAAAGCGUCUGUAGGUGGCUUUUUAAGUCCGCCGUCAAAUCCCAGGGCUCAACCCUGGACAGGCGGUGGAAACUACCAAGCUGGAGUACGGUAGGGGCAGAGGGAAUUUCCGGUGGAGCGGUGAAAUGCGUAGAGAUGUGGAGGAACACCGAUGGCGAAGGCAGCCCCCUGGGUCAAGACUGACGCUCAUGCACGAAAGCGUGGGGAGCAAACAGG
rnacentral:rRNA from 1 species